CUAGAAGAUAUGAAGCAGCUAGAAGUCAGGGCUGUUCUGCAUAGUGUACUUUCCUUGAACAGAGGUUAUAGAUAUUAUCUCCCUGCUGUAGUAAAAUGUUUAAUACUCUCCUGGGAAGAUGUCACUUCCAGCUCCUGGCAUAGUGAGGUCUGAAAUAGUUUCCCCUCAACACAUGCCUGUGACAGCCUCUGUGAAGACUUGCUUGGCACUGAAUUAAAAGUCCCUUAUGAAGAUGAUGAUAAAGAGCCACAAGCAAAAGUUUUUCUAAACCACGUACCAGCAAUGUACGAAAGUAAGUGAUAAUCUGUCCCAGUGGUAGAGAAAGGUUUUCAAUCUUUCCUUGGAAUAAAUCCCUUCACAGCUACAGUCAGCUGAGUUCAGCAGGAACAUGCUUUCAUAACAUGGGAGAGAGAGCCUGAGUGAAGGAAAUGAACUGCCAUGUGUGUAAAGGAAGUUACUAGGUCGAUCCUAAAGAGAUAUAGGCCGGAGCUUUUCUGCACAGUGUACUUUCUUUGAAUAUGUGUUAUAUAUAUUCUCUCCCAGCAGCAGUGGGAUGUUAGAAGAUCUCCUGGGAAAAUUUCACUCUCCAACUCCUGGCAUGGUGAGGUCAGCAAAGCUUUUGCCUUCUCUUGGGAAAAUAUCUUCCUCUUCCUGAGAUGCCACAUGGAGGUGAACUGGAAGAAAAAGAGCAAAAACUGGUCAGUUUUCAUGUACUUCUGUCUUCAAACAAGCCCAACGGAAUUUGAGGAUGCCAGCACCUUUCCUACAUAUUUAAACUUAUCUGCAUUCCCGUUUCUGGAAUACCCUAUACCUGCAUUCUAAGUAGACUCAUGGAAGCUUCAGAGGUCAUUUAACACAUAAUGUCUCAUCUGUACAUCUUGAAGUGGUGAGUGGCUUGCCUAAGAGAACACAGAUGCUCAGUGGCAGAGCCAGAACAUGAACUCAUGCAUAAUGACCUCUGUCAUCUGGGGCCAUCCUCUGAUUUGGUACUUGUGGUUGGUACAGACUCUCUGCGCCACACCUCAUUCCACUGUGAAAGCAUUCUCAUACUGCUUCUAAUUUCAUAACUGUUAAAAAUUAUUUGGCUACGCAUAUUUCAUGCACUAUCGAGUAAAGUGAAGAGGAGAAAAAUAAAGCUACAUAAAAAAUCCA
rnacentral:lncRNA from 1 species